CUCCACUGAUCUUUCAACUGUAUUUUUACUCCUGUGUGAAUACAGUUCGUGCUGUAGGUUUCAAGCUCUUAUGGGACACCAAUCUAACAUUUUAAUUCAAUGUAACUUUCCUUCAAAGGUUUGGCCUUCGUUCGAUCCUUCAAAGAUUCCCAAUGAAUGGUUCCUUGAUCAUCCACAAGUCUGUCCUGAAGCUGGAAACCAGAUAACAGCCUGGGAACCUUCACCACCACCAUCUGCCCAGGAACACACACUGAGAUCUGCCAGCUGAAGAAAGGCACCGUCUACUACACCUACAGCUACGACUACAGUCACUAGAUGGAACAUAAUGAUGGUUAGAUUGUAACCUAUGACCUUUACGACCUUGUGUCUGAUUGGUUCUCUCACCCUGUCACUCAUGUAUUCACUUCCUUAUAACAUCAAUUAAAAAACAUGCUUCAUGGCAA